GACGAACGCUGGCGGCGUGCUUAACACAUGCAAGUCGAACGGAAAGGCCCUGCUUUUGUGGGGUGCUCGAGUGGCGAACGGGUGAGUAACACGUGAGUAACCUGCCCUUGACUUUGGGAUAACUUCAGGAAACUGGGGCUAAUACCGGAUAGGAGCUCCUGCUGCAUGGUGGGGGUUGGAAAGUUUCGGCGGUUGGGGAUGGACUCGCGGCUUAUCAGCUUGUUGGUGGGGUAGUGGCUUACCAAGGCUUUGACGGGUAGCCGGCCUGAGAGGGUGACCGGCCAAAUUGGGACUUAGAUACGGCCCAGACUCCUACGGGAGGCAGCAGUGGGGAAUAAUGCACAAUGGGCGGAAGCCUGAUGCAGCAACGCCGCGUGCGGGAUGACGGCCUUCGGGUUGUAAACCGCUUUCGCCUGUGACGAAGCGUGAGUGACGGUAAUGGGUAAAGAAGCACCGGCUAACUACGUG
rnacentral:rRNA from 1 species